rnacentral:rRNA from 1 species
GGUUUUUUGUUGUUAAAUAAAAAAUCUGGCCUGCCCACUGAAUUAUAUUGAAGGGCUGCAGUAUUUUGACUGUACAAAGGUAGCAUAAUCAUUAGUCUUUUAAUUAAGGACUGGUAUGAAAGGUUAAACGGAAUUUAACUGUCUCUAUAAAUUAAGGUGAAUUUAUUUUUUUGUGAAAAAACAAAAGUAAAUUAAAGGGACAAAAAGACCCUAUUAAACUUGAAUUGAAUUUUUAUAUUAUUAUAGUUAUUAAGUUAUUAUUUUAAUAGGAUUUUACUGGGGUGGUAAGUUUAAUACAUAAUUUUUUUAUAAUAAAUUAUUAACAAAAUUGAAGGAUCCAAUGGAUUGAUAGUAAGAAUAAGUUACUAUAGGGAUAACAGCGUAAUAUUUUCUGAGAGUUCUUAUUGACGAAAUUGUUUGCGACCUCGAUGUUGGAUUAAGAAGUCUAAUUGGCGUAGUAGUUGAUUAAGAUGGUCUGUUCGACCUUUAAUUUCUU